rnacentral:rRNA from 1 species
UGUGAACGCUGGCGGCGUGCUUAACACAUGCAAGUCGAACGAGAACGGGUUAUAGCUUGCUAUAAUUGUCAGCUAAGUGGCGCACGGGUGAGUAGUGUAUAGGUAAUAUGCCUCUUACUAAGGGAUAACAAAUGGAAACGUUUGCUAAUACCUUAUACUCCUUAUUAACAUAAGUUAAUAAGGGAAAGAUUUAUUGGUAAGAGAUUAGCCUGUAUUGUAUCAGUUAGUUGGUGGGGUAAUGGCUUACCAAGACUAUGACACAUAACUGGUUUGAGAGGAUGAUCAGUCACACUGGAACUGAGACACGGUCCAGACUCCUACGGGAGGCAGCAGUGGGGAAUAUUGCACAAUGGACGAAAGUCUGAUGCAGCAACGCCGCGUGGAGGAUGACGCAUUUCGGUGCGUAAACUCCUUUUAUAUGAGAAGAUAAUGACGGUAUUAUAUGAAUAAGCACCGGCUAACUCCGUGCCAGCAGCCGCCGUAA